rnacentral:rRNA from 1 species
AUUGAACGCUGGCGGCAUGCUUUACACAUGCAAGUCGAACGGUAACAGGCCGCAAGGUGCUGACGAGUGGCGAACGGGUGAGUAAUGCAUCGGAACGUGCCCAGUCGUGGGGGAUAACGCAGCGAAAGCUGCGCUAAUACCGCAUACGAUCUAUGGAUGAAAGCGGGGGACCGAAAGGCCUCGCGCGAUUGGAGCGGCCGAUGUCAGAUUAGGUAGUUGGUGGGGUAAAGGCUGACCAAGCCGACGAUCUGUAGCGGGUCUGAGAGGACGACCAGCCAUACUAGGACUGUGACACGGCCCAGACUCCGACGGGAGGCAGCAGUGGGUAAUUUUGGACAAUGGGCGCAAGCCUGAUCCAGCAAUGCCGCGUGCAGGAAGAAGUCCUUCGGGUUGUAAACUGCUUUUGUACGGAACGAAAAGGCUCUGGUUAAUACCUGGGGCUCAUGACGGUACCGUAAGAAUAAGCACCGGCUAACUACGUGCCAGCAGCCGCAGUAAAAC